UGAAUACGAGAUGCUACGGCGUCGAAGCAGUCUAUGUCAUACUUCCAAGAAAAGCUUGCACUGUCAUAAACAAAUAAUGCCUGUACCAUAACCGACACAGGUGGGUAGGUAGAGUAUACUAAGGGGCGCGAGAUAACUCUCUCUAAGGAACUCGGCAAAAUGACUCCGUAACUUCGGGAGAAGGAGUGCCUUAUUUUAUAAGGUUGCAAUAACAAGAUCCAAGCAACUGUUUACCAAAAACACAGGUCUCCGCUAAGUCGUAAGACGAUGUAUGGGGGCUGACGCCUGCCCAGUGCCAGAAGGUUAAAGAAGUUGGUUAGCAUCCGCGAAGCUGAUAACUGAAGCCCUGGUGAACGGCGGCCGUAACGAUAACGGUCCUAAGGUAGCGAAAUUCCUUGUCGGGUAAGUUCCGACCCGCACGAAAGGCGUAAUGAUUUGGAUACUGUCUCAGAGAGGGGCUCGGUGAAAUAGACUUGUCUGUGAAGAUGCGGACUACCUGCACCAGGACAGAAAGACCCUAUGAAGCUUUACUGUAACUUGAAAUUGAAAUUGGACUUUACUUGCGCAGUAUAGGUGGGAGGCGUUGAGAAUAUUCUUGCGGGAAUGUUGGAGCCAUCAGUGAGAUACCACUCUUGUAAUGUUAGAUUUCUAACUUUGUAUCAUUAUCUGGUCAAAGGACAGUUUCAGGCGGGCAGUUUGACUGGGGCGGUCGCCUCCCAAACGGUAACGGAGGCGCACAAAGGUUUCCUCUGAACGGGUAGAAAUCGUAUCUAGAGUGUAAAGGCAUAAGGAAGCUUGACUGUGAGACCUACAAGUCGAGCAGGGACGAAAGUCGGUCUUAGUGAUCUGACGGUGCUGAGUGGAAAGGCCGUCACUCAACGGAUAAAAGUUACUCUAGGAUAACAGGCUGAUCUCCCCCAAGAGUUCACAUCGACGGGGAGGUUUGGCACCUCGAUGUCGGCUCAUCGCAUCCUGGGGCGGUAGUACGUCCCAAGGGUUGGGCUGUUCGCCCAUGAAAGCGGUACGCGAGCUGGGUUCAGAACGUCGUGAGACAGUUCGGUCCAUAUCCGGUGUAGGCGUUAGAAUAUUGAGAGGAGCCUUCUUUAGUACGAGAGGACCGAGAAGGACAUACCUCUGGUGUACCAGUUAUCGUGCCAACGGUAAACGCUGGGUAGCUAUGUAUGGAGUGGAUAACCGCUGAAAGCAUCUAAGUGGGAAGCCCACCUCAAGAUAAGUAUUC
rnacentral:rRNA from 1 species